rnacentral:lncRNA from 1 species
GCCCAUUCAAAUCUCCCAAAAGUAGCAUGGGUGCUUCCAGUUACCCUCACCCCUUUCUGUGGUGUAUGUUGCCACUCUAGGUCGUCACAGUCUGCUUAUUUGUCGGGAUUCUACUCUGGACUAGAGGUUUGCUGUGCACAGGCAUGGCACAGAAUAGGUGCUCAGUAAAUAUUUGUUGUAAAUUGGUGAAGGAAGGAAGGACAUGCUUUAAAACUGUUGUUUGAAUGUUUAACAGGUAUAUGAAAAGAUGCUCAGCGUCACUAAUCAUCAGGGUACUGCAAAUCAAAACCAUAAUGGGCUGACACCUCACACGUUAGGAUGGCCAGGGUUGAAAAGUCAAAAAGAAAACAAGCAUUGACAAGGAUAUGGAGAAAAGAGAACACUUCCUUGUAGGCUGUUGUUGGGAACUUAAAGUGUUACAGCCAUUGAAUAAAAUAAUAUAGAAGUUCCUUUAAAAAAAAUAAAUAAAGCUACCCUAUGAUCCAGCAGUCUCACUUCUAGAUAUUUAUCCAAAGGAAAUAAAAUCACUAUCUGGAAGUGCUGACUGCACUCCUACGUCCAUUAUAGCACCAUACAAUAACCAAGAUAUGGAAACAACUUAUGUGUAUGUCCCUAGAUGGAUGGAUAAAGAAAUUAUAAAGCAGAUAGUUAUAGCGGAAUAUUAUUCACCUUUAAAAAGAAGGAAAUGUCACCAUUUGAGACCAUAUGAAGUACCGAAAGACAAAUAAUGCAUAAUCUCACUUGCAACUGAAUCUUUGUUUUGUUUUUUUAAAUAGCAGGAUAGUGGUUACCAGAGGCUGGGCUUGGAGUGAGAUACAAAGAUACAAACUUUCAGUCAAAAGAGGAACAAAUUCUAGAGACCUAAUGUAAGGCCUACAGUUAAUAAUGAUGUGUCCUUGAAAUUUACUAUGAAGGUAGAGUUUAAGUUUUCUCAUCAUACACAGGGGAAAAGGUAACUGUGAGGUGUAUGUUAAUUACCUUGAUUGUUGAUUGUUGUAAUCAUGCACAAUGUAUACAUAUUUCAAAACAUUGUGUAGUGCACCUUAAAAAUUAUAUAUAUUGUCGAUCAUACCUCAGUAACUGG